AUGGAGAAGCAGCCUUUGGAGGGAGGACCUGGGCCAAGCUCUUCCCUGGCUUUCCUGCUUCAGCCCCUGAAGUCUCUCCUGGUUAGUGCCUGGGCGGUGCCUUUCACCAGCAGGACACCAAGCUGGAAGGUGCCAUCUCUGUUCUUCAGCAGAACGCCUCUGCCAAGACUGGCAAGCAUAGCAGGAACAACGCUGAUGCCCCACUGCCCUUUCCUCGAGGGGACCCCCGGGUCUCCCGUGCCCCACUCAGGGAUGCUGCUCCCCGAAUGCCCCAGCAUGCAGCCCGCCAGGCAGCACAGCCCCAUCUAUGCAAAUCUAUGCAAAUAUGCGCAAUGCACUCAAAUCUAUGAAGCGCUCGGGGCUGUCCCGGGCGGGGCGGCCCGCCCCGGAGCGCCGGUGCCGCCCCCGCUAUAAGGCGGCGGCGGCGGGGCCGUCCCGGCGUGCGGAGCUGCGGCACUCCGGGGACAGGCAGGUCGUGCGGCAGCGGCGGCAUCAUGCGCGAGUGCAUCUCCGUCCACGUCGGCCAGGCCGGCGUCCAGAUGGGCAACACCUGCUGGGAGCUGUACUGCCUGGAGCACGGCAUCCAGCCCGACGGGCAGAUGCCCAGCGACAAAACCAUUGGCGGAGGGGACGACUCCUUCACCACCUUCUUCUGUGAGACUGGCGCUGGCAAGCACGUCCCACGGGCCAUCUUCGUGGACCUGGAGCCCACCGUGAUUGAUGAGAUUCGGGGAGGAGUCUACCGGCAGCUCUUCCACCCCGAACAGAUGAUCACUGGCAAAGAGGAUGCUGCCAACAACUACGCCCGUGGGCACUACACCAUCGGCAAAGAGAUCAUUGAUCAAGUGCUGGACAGGAUCCGUAAGCUGGCUGACCAGUGCACAGGCCUCCAGGGAUUCCUUGUAUUUCGUAGUUUUGGAGGUGGCACUGGCUCUGGAUUCACCUCCCUGUUGAUGGAGCGACUCUCUGUUGAUUACGGCAAGAAGUCCAAGCUGGAAUUCUCCAUCUACCCGGCACCACAAGUCUCCACUGCUGUGGUAGAGCCCUACAACUCCAUUCUCACCACCCACAGUACAUUGGAGCACUCGGACUGUGCUUUCAUGGUGGACAACGAGGCCAUCUACGACAUCUGCCGCCGGAACCUGGACAUCGAGCGCCCAACCUACACCAACUUGAACAGACUCAUCAGCCAGGUUGUGUCAUCCAUCACGGCAUCACUACGGUUUGAUGGAGCCCUGAAUGUGGAUCUGACCGAGUUCCAGACCAACCUGGUGCCCUACCCUCGCAUUCACUUCCCCCUGGCCACCUAUGCCCCCGUGGUUUCUGCUGAGAGAGCUUACCAUGAGCAGCUGUCUGUGUCAGAAAUCACCAACUCCUGCUUUGAGCCGGCUAACCAGAUGGUGAAGUGUGACCCUCGCCAUGGCAAGUACAUGGCCUGCUGCCUGCUGUACCGCGGGGACGUGGUGCCCAAGGACGUCAACGCCGCCAUCGCCACCAUCAAGACCAAACGCAGCAUCCAGUUUGUGGACUGGUGCCCCACGGGCUUCAAGGUGGGCAUCAACUACCAGCCGCCCACGGUGGUGCCGGGGGGGGACCUGGCCAAGGUGCAGCGCGCCGUCUGCAUGCUGAGCAACACCACGGCCAUCGCCGAGGCCUGGGCUCGCCUGGACCACAAGUUUGACCUGAUGUACGCCAAGCGCGCCUUCGUGCACUGGUACGUGGGCGAGGGCAUGGAGGAAGGGGAGUUCUCCGAGGCGCGGGAAGACAUGGCCGCUCUGGAGAAGGAUUACGAGGAAGUGGGCCUGGACUCCUACGAGGAUGAAGAAGAGGGUGAGGAGUAGAGAAGCCUCCGCCAAAAAAGGACCACGCUCCUUCCCUGUGUUACCUGCAGAAACCCUUUGCAAUAAACCGUUUCAGAGCCUC